rnacentral:rRNA from 1 species
UACUAGAGUAGCACUCGCAUAUCAAUAAGCGGAGGAAAAGAAACUAACAAGGAUUCCCCUAGUAACGGCGAGUGAAGGCGGGAAGAGCUCAAAUUUGAAAUCUUAAAGGGUUUCCCUUUACGAAUUGUAGUUUAAAGAAGUGUUUUCUGUUGAGGUUUUGGUAAAAGUUCUUUGGAAUAGGACAUCAUAGAGGGUGAGAAUCCCGUAUUUGACCUUUACUUUCAACUUUGUGAUACACUUUCAAAGAGUCGGAUUGUUUGGGAAUGCAGUCCAAAAUGGGUGGUAAAUUUCAUCUAAAGCUAAAUAUUGGCGAGAGACCGAUAGCGAACAAGUACCGUGAGGGAAAGAUGAAAAGAACUUUGAAAAGAGAGUUAAACAGUACGUGAAAUUGUCAAAAGGGAAGCGUUUGACACCAGUGUUGUUUUUCUGAAAAUCAAUUAAAGAACUGUUUAUGCUAAGCUGUUUAGACUUUAUCAGCUAAUCUGUUUAGUUUUGAGCUUUUCUUUAAUGCACUUUUCAGUUAACAAGCCAACAUCAAUUUCUUUUGCUGUAAAAAAGCUUGAGGAAGGUGGCUUGAGAUUCGUCUUAAGUGUUUAUAGCCUCUUGCCUAUGCAGUCGGAGAGAUUGAGGUCCGCAGCGUAGAUCCUUCGGGGCUAAAUGCAUUUGUGCUAAGUUAUAGCAUUUUAUAGACAACUUGUUGACUAUGAUUUGUCUUGUAGCUUACUCGCUUAUGUUAUUUUACCUACGCUUAGGAUGUUGAACUCUAUCACACACAG